rnacentral:rRNA from 1 species
UUCGGAGGGGGCUAUCGUUGUUCGGAAUUACUGGGCGUAAAGCGCGCGUAGGCGGACCUGCAAGUCGGGGGUGAAAGCCCGAGGCUCAACCUCGGAACUGCAUUCGAUACUGCGGGUCUCGAGUCCGGGAGAGGUGAGUGGAAUUCCUAGUGUAGAGGUGAAAUUCGUAGAUAUUAGGAACAACACCAGUGUCGAAGGCGGCUCACUGGCCCGGUACUGACGCUGAGGCGCGAAAGCGUGGGCAGAAAACAGG